AAGACCUUGCGCUUUUGGAGCGGCCGAUGUCUGAUUAGCUAGUUGGUGGGGUAAUGGCCUACCAAAGCUUCGAUCAGUAGCUGGUCUGAGAGGAUGAUCAGCCACACUGGGACUGAGACACGGCCCAGACUCCUACGGGAGGCAGCAGUGGGGAAUUUUGGACAAUGGGGGCAACCCUGAUCCAGCCAUGCCGCGUGAGUGAAGAAGGCCUUCGGGUUGUAAAGCUCUUUCGGCCGGAACGAAAUCGCAUCUCCUAAUACGGGGUGUGGAUGACAGUACCGGAAGAAGAAGCACCGGCUAACUACGUGCCAGCAGCCGCGGUAAUACGUAGGGUGCGAGCGUUAAUCGGAAUUACUGGGCGUAAAGCGUGCGCAGGCGGCUCUUCAAGUCAGAUGUGAAAGCCCCGGGCUUAACCUGGGAACU
rnacentral:rRNA from 1 species